rnacentral:lncRNA from 1 species
UUGAAAAUGCAACCGUUAUUGAACGAAGUCGAGUCAAAGUGCUGGAUCGUGCAAUCGACGUCCGUAAUAACUUGUUCUCAAUUGACUGCCUGCCCUUUUUUGACAUGUCAAGACACUUCAGGUGACAUCAUCUGGGACAGUUGGAACAACUCUACGCUCCACAUUUAAUUCAGUGUCAAUCCUGAUUUCAUCAACAUGGACUGAUGGAACAAAAGUCAUGCAAAUAUGCUGUUUUGUGUAGUGGUGUCACAAGAUAAAGUACUUCCUUGAUGAGUUCAGAGAUGGAUGAUCAAUCAAACAUAGAAUAUGGUUUCUAGCAACCCUGCAGGUAUCCUUCAUACGCCAUUGGCGUAACGCCAAUGAGAGUGCAUAAAGCUUGCACAUAUUAUAAACGGUAUCUGUGCUAUCCCCAAUAUAUAACAUUAGACCAAUUACAUUGCCAAAUUACAAUGGAG